AGAGUUUGAUCCUGGCUCAGAACGAACGCUGGCGGCGUGCUUAAUACAUGCAAGUCGUGCGAGAAAUCCCGAGCUUGCUCGGGAGAGUAAAGCGGCGAACGGGUGCGUAACACGUGGGCAACUUACCCUUGGGUUGGGGAUAAGCCUUCGAAAGAGGGUCUAAUACCGAAUAACAUCUUUUUAAGGCAUCUUAAGAAGAUCAAAGGUGGCUUCGGCUAUCUCCUGAGGAUGGGCCCGCGUUCCAUCAGCUUGUUGGUGGGGUAAAAGCCUACCAAGGCUGCGAUGGAUAGCCGACCUGAGAGGGUGAUCGGCCACACUGGGACUGAGAUACGGCCCAGACUCCUACGGGAGGCAGCAGUAGGGAAUUUUGCGCAAUGCCCGAAAGGGUGACGCAGCAACGCCGCGUGGGGGAUGAAGCUUCUUGGAGCGUAAACCCCUGUCAGUUGGGACGAAAUAGCUCUUCUCUAAUAUAGUUGAGCUUUGACGGUACCUUCAGAGGAAGCUCCGGCCAACUCCGUGCCAGCAGCCGCGGUAACACGGGGGGAGCAAGCGUUGUUCGGAAUCACUGGGCGUAAAGGGUACGCAGGCGGGAAGACAGGUCAGAUGUGAAACCCCAAGGCUCAACCUUGGGCCUGCAUCUGAAACCAUCUUUCUUGAGUAUCGGAGAGGAAAGCGGAACUCCUGGUGUAGCGGUGAAAUGCGUAGAUAUCAGGAGGAACACCCGUGGCGAAGGCGGCUUUCUGGCCGAAUACUGACGCUCAUGUACGAAGGCCGGGGGAGCAAACAGGAUUAGAUACCCUGGUAGUCCCGGCGGUAAACGAUGGGUACUAGGUGAUGGAGGAAUCGACCCCUUCAGUGCCGCAGCUAACGCAUUAAGUACCCCGCCUGGGGAGUACGACCGCAAGGUUGAAACUCAAAGGAAUUGACGGGGCCCCGCACAACAGUGGAGCAUGUGGUUUAAUUCGACGCAACGCGAAGAACCUUACCUGGGCUUGAAAUGUACAGGAAAACCUCAGAGAUGAGGUCCCUCCGCAAGGAGUCUGUUCACAGGUGCUGCAUGGCUGUCGUCAGCUCGUGCCGUGAGGUGUUGGGUUAAGUCCCGCAACGAGCGCAACCCUUGCCCUUAGUUGCCAGCGAUUCGGUCGGGAACUCUAAGGGGACUGCCUCGGUCAACGGGGAGGAAGGUGGGGAUGACGUCAAGUCCUCAUGGCCCUUACGUCCAGGGCUACACACGUGCUACAAUGGCCGGUACAGAGGGUCGCAAGACCGCGAGGUGGAGCCAAUCCCUAAAACCGGUCUCAGUUGGGAUUGGAGUCUGCAACUCGACUCCAUGAAGUUGGAAUUGCUAGUAAUCGCGAAUCAGCAGGUCGCGGUGAAUACGUUCCCGGGGCUUGUACACACCGCCCGUCAAGCCAUGGAAGCCGGGGGUACCCGAAGUCGCUUUGUUAACCGCAAGGAAACAAGCGCCGAAGGUAAAAUCGGUGACUGGGGCUAAGUCGUAACAAGGUA
rnacentral:rRNA from 1 species